GCCUCCGUAGCGCAGCGGUAGCGUUCCCGCCUACCAUGCGAGGGUGCCCGGGUUCGAUUCCCGGCAGGGGACU